GUCUAUGGCCAUACCCUCCUGAAUGUGCCAGAUCUCAUCUGAUCUUGAAGCUAAGCAGGGUCUGGCUUCAUUAGUACUUGGAUGGGAGAAAACAAAAAUCUUAAUGACAAAAGACA
rnacentral:rRNA from 1 species